rnacentral:lncRNA from 10 species
GUAAUAUUUUCAUAAGUUGUAACCGGUAGCAAUAGAAAGAGUCAAGAACCAAGAAACUUCAUGAGAGGCCUGAGAGCAUGAGAUCGUCAUCCUUCCCAGUGAGCUCUGGGAAGGUCUCCAAAUUAGCAAUGGUGCCUUCAAAAUCAUGGAACUGCCUCACCUACAGGAUAUUUAAGAAAUAAACUUCAAAGGUGAUGCUAACACUCAGAAGGUCUUCACAGCUAGAGCAAAUGAAAAUGCAAUCUGAAGGGAGUGAAAAACUUGGAAAAUCCCACACUGUUAGUAAAUUAGGUCUUUUAAAAAAGGAACAUCCUAGCAAGCUCCAAUAAAUCAAUGUGACUCUAAGAAACAACACUGAAAGGUAAGUGCACUUUCAGGGUUACAUCUUUGUUCUCUUUCUUUCUUAGCUAUUUGAUUCAUGUGGUAAAGUAAAUUUCUCUUGAUUUUUUUUCUUUCAUAAUCUACUAGUUACUGAGCCUGUCGGACUUAACUCACCAGAGUUUUAAUUACAAAGCAGUACAGUUGCCGCAGAGAAUGGUAACACAGUGUUGCUGAACCAACUGGGCCUGAGAUGUGUGGCUGGAAUCUUAUAUUUUCUUCACUUUCUAAAGAUGAGAGACUUCCCAGAUGCCCUAACAGCAGGGCUUCUUUUUGAUAAGAGGUAAUGAAACCUCACAGACAAAUGCAAUAAUCUGAGUUUUAAUAGACCCAAACCAGUCGACAGUAAAAAAAAAAAUCAGCACAAUAGACAAAAAACUGAGUCACUCUGAUGAGAUUUUCAAAUAUUUCUCUUCCUUCUCAUCAUCUCUUCAAAGAGAGUAACCGAUUGCCCUAUUCUUUUCUUUUUGUCCUAAUGAAAAAAAUAGCUUAAAAUUAGAAAUAAUGUACUUACUAAGCCAUGUGAAGAUAAUAGGCCACAGAAAUUAAAAAUGCUCAUACCUAUUUAGAGUGAUGAACCUUCCCAAUCUGCCCGUGAUGUUACCAGUUUUCACAAUAAAAUCCUGUGUCCUGAGAAACCCUCCUCAGCCCUGAGCAAGAUGAAACAGUUGGUCACCCUACUACUUACUUUCAAGGAGAUAGAUGGUCGAUUCAAUUUUAUAAAUUCAAUAUUAUUAAACCUCUCUACAUUCUAAUGCAUACUAUAUAUAUAUAUAUAUAUAUAUAUAUAUAUAUGUAUAUAUCAUAUAGACCUACAUACCAAAUGUAUUUAAAUGCUGUUUAACUUUCUGUACGUUUUGUUUCCCUCCUAUUUUUAGUCUUUUUUUGUCUUUCUAAUAAAAGAUAAUUUUUUGAAGAUCGUUAGAUGUAUUUGUCAAUGCAAGAGUAGUGGAUUAAUAUUACAGACCAGUAUGUUGUGUAGGUCUUUAUACACGCUUUCCACCUUCAGGGAUAAUGACCCCAAAUAGGCGAUGAAAAAAAAAAAGGACAUGAGAUGAGAGUCAGAGCUCCUUUUCCUUGGUGACUCGAGAUUAUAUGAAGAUAAAAGGAAAAGGUUGUGAUGCAUUUUCUGCAGUUUGUGUAAGGAUGGGCUUUAUAAAUCUAGGAAAAAUUCCUGCAGGAAUCACUUUUUAGUACCGGUGCUGCCAUCAACUUUCAACUGUCUAACAGAAGCUAGAAUAUAAAGGUGGGAAUUUUAAUAAAAAAAAGUAUUUUUGUUAAUACCUAUAUAAUUAGAAAUGAUGACUGUUAAGGAAAGUUUUUUCUGUUUUCUUAGAUUUAAUAAAACACAACUAAAUUUGGAAAUACACAGGCAAUAGAGACAAAUCUAAAAAUUCUUAGCAAAACUAUGAUUUUCAUCUCAUUAUAAUAACAUAUGAAAGCAGAAAUGGCAAAUCAAAUUUUAUAGCAAAAACACUCAAUACAGAGAGCUAUUAAUUCCUGGCACAAAACUCAACUGCAGAAGGUGGAUGAAGUGCAUAUGAUGCAUACUCAUUAUUUUUAACAAUGCUUGGAGGGGCUCUUUGACUCGGAAUUUUAUGAGCAACAUAAGUGAUCUGAUCUGUUACUUAAAACACUCAAUGAAAUUAGAAAUGUAUAUAUUAUGAUACAACUGAUUUUAGCAUAAAUAUACCUAACAAAAUUUGACUGUUAAAUAUCCAAGCCCAAACAUCCCUAUAUAUUUCCCACUCACUCGCUAAACCUCGAGUAAGCCACUAUUGUUAGAAAUGUUCUUCCAAUUCUUGCUCCAGGACUAUUCUUCCACCUCCUCCAGGUUCUUCUGUCUUCUUGCUGUGUCUCAGCCUGCUUUCAUGUCUGCUGGUUUGUGCUUUUCUGUUUCUAUUUCUGAGGCACAUUGCCUUGCUGUGUAUAUCCUUUCAGUGUCUUGUAUCCUGUGAUUCUGAACAAAGGGAGCUGUGAUUUAUAAUAUUUUGGGAAGCAACUAAAUUCUUAAUUGGUAUCCAAAUUGAAAACCAAUUUUUCCUUUUGGCCAGAAUCAUGAAAACUAUUGUAAGUUCUGUGGAACUUGUAUGAUAACAUUACAUAGAUUUUUUUGGCCACGAAAAAAUCUGAAUGGGUCUCUUUUUAAUGAUUUCCCACCUGGCAUUAUGUGUGACAAAUAUAUAGUUCAAGCCUCUAAGUGCAUGUUUAAAACCUACAAUGUAUACAUAUUCAUGUCCUGAGUUUUCCCUUUGUACUAGCUUUUUUGGUAUAUAGUUAAAUGGUUAUUCAAAAUGUUAGUUAAACUUUAUAAAUUUUAACUGGUUUCUCUAAAAGUAGCCUUGCUAUUUUUCCUUAAUAAAAAAGAUGAACAUUCUACACAAU